GACAGAGGUGCCGAGCGUUAGGCGGAAUCACUGGGCUUAAAGCGUGUGUAGGCGGGUUUGUAAGUACCUUGUGAAAUCCCACGGCUCAACCGUGGAACUGCUUGGUAUACUGCGAUUCUUGAGCCACUUAGGGGCUACCGGAACAAAUGGUGGAGCGGUGAAAUGCGUAGAUAUCAUUUGGAACGCCAAUGGUGAAAACAGGUAGCUGGGAGUGUGCUGACGCUGAGACACGAAAGCCAGGGGAGCGAACGGG
rnacentral:rRNA from 1 species